CCGAGUGAGGGUCUCACGGCCCGACCUCCAACUCUGUGUUUAAUAACCACUGUUGCUUUGGCGGGCCCGCCUUUGGCCGCCGGGGUUCGCCCUGGCCCGCGCCCGCCAGAGACCCCCAAAAUUCGCUGAACCGUGCCGUCUCAGUUAUAAACAAAAUGAAUA
rnacentral:misc_RNA from 1 species